rnacentral:lncRNA from 1 species
UCCAAAAACCCUGUGGGAAAAAUAUGAGGAGAAUAGUGUAGAUAUGUUGCUAAAACUCUUUUAAACCCCUUGAGAAAAAUAAGGAAAAAAUGAUACAACAUAUAAUGAUUAUUGUCUCGUGAUAACUCAUUUGAGAAACCUUUGUAGAAGGAGAAAACUCAUCUUUGAGUUUAGAGAACAAUAAUUAUGUCUUGAGUACUCCCUUUAAAAACCCUGAUAGGGAAAAUAGAAAGUAUAACAUAUGAUCUUUGAGAAGAUAUUGCCUCAUUAAAAACCAUUAUGAGAAACUUUUGAGAGAAAAACUCAUAAGGAAAAAGAGUGCAUUUGACAUGCCAUUGAAAACUCCUUUAAAACCCGGUGGAAAAAUAUAAGGAGAAAAUGAUAUGGCAUAUACAAACACUUGUGUUUAUAUUGUCUCGUUAAAAACCUUUUAUGAGAAACCAUUAGGGGAAAACUCAUCAAGGGAAAAAGAGUACAAUAUAUGCAAUCUGAUGAUUGUUAAUAGGUUAUAGUUUGGGAGAUUACCCCCCCCCNNNNNNNNNNNNNNNNNNNNNNNNNNNNNNNNNNNNNNNNNNNNNNNNNNNNNNNNNNNNNNNNNNNNNNNNNNNNNNNNNNNNNNNNNNNNNNNNNNNNNNNNNNNNNNNNNNNNNNNNNNNNNNNNNNNNNNNNNNNNNNNNNNNNNNNNNNNNUUCCCCCCCCCCCCCCCCCCGAACUUUGCAAAUAUGGAGGAUGUCUCAUACCAAUUUCAUUGACAUGAACAUAAGAUUGUGUAUAAUCUGUUGGAUUUUCACAUGAUUUUGUUUGCAAAUUAUUUCCUCACUUUUCUAUAAUCCAUGAGGAUAAGUAGUUUCCGAGCAAUGUGAUUUAUGAUAUUGCUCUUCAUAUAACAUGUAGGUAUUGAGUAACACAAAUGGAAGUAUCUUGAUAAAUCAAGUUAUGUGAUUCUGAUAAAUCUCAACCACAUGAUUUUAAGUGUGGUUAAUCAUUCUUCCAAGCCAUGCAUAUUUCGCAAUGCUUUUAGAUAAAGCAAUUAUGUCAGAAUGAUAAGUGGGAAUAACCAUUAAAGUCCAUUUCGAUGACUUCCAUAUGGAGGCUAUUCCAACAAAUUCAGUCAUUGAUAUGGCGUCAUUGGGAUCAAAUAAAGAGCCAAUAUCAUCAUAUCCCAUCAUGGUCAUAUCUUGUAUUUCCUGAUGGAAUUGUCCAAUAUUUAUUGUAAGCUUAAGAUAUAAGAUGAUAUUCCAUAUAUCAAGCAUGUUACUUUUGUUGGGGGUUGCACUCUGAACAAACAUAGUAAAUAUGGUGUCAGGCCUGACAUAGUUUGCAAUCAUAUGAGUGCUUUGACAUUAGUGAGAUAUAGAACUUCAGGUCUUUAUGCCACUUCAUUAUCAACCCUAGGUAUGUACCUUAUCAAAGGUAGUAUGACCAUACAUGUCUUAUGUUGUUAUGAUAUAUCCACACUGAACUUCUUGUAUAUGUUUUGGAUAUAUGUAGACUGAUAUGUAUUCUUGAGAGAAUGCUCAAGUUGUAAGCUUAAGCUAAAUUUGGUUGAAUCCAAAAUUUCCGUCUUGAGAUGAUUUUGUGUAUGUUUAUGUCUUGCAGAGACACUGAUGAUGAAAUCAUCAAUAUACACUGAGGUGAUGUAAGGGAAUCAAAUUUUUGGAUUCCUUUAUUAACACAUGAACAAUCAUCAUCCUUUGAGUAAUCCUCUGAAGAAGGAACUCGUCUAUUCGGUAGUACCAUAUGAUUCACGACUAUUUCUAGUCAUAGAGUGACUUAUGAAGUUUUACACAAUACAUGUUGCGAUUUGUUUUUGGAUUCGGAAAUGAAGCCCUUCAGGGACUUUAAUAUAGAUUUCCGAAAUGAGUGACUCAUAUGAGUAUGUAGUCACUACAUCCAUUAACUGCAUGGAUAAUAUUAUUUGUACUGCCAACGGUAUUUAUUAUCGAAACAUAGUUCCACUCAUACCAAGAAGGUAUGUUACAUCGUAGUCGAUGUUGGGUCUCUGCGUGAACCCUUUUGCUACAAGCCUCGCUUUUUCACCACCUCAUUGACUUUGUCUAUUAAUGAGAAGUUUUUAGUAUUCCAUAUGGAAGAUACUUAUGAGGAGUAGGUAUUACUGUAGUAAAUACCACUCUUUGAUUGGCGAGUGCUAUUCUUCAUUACUUACUCCCUUUUAUGUGAACCAAUAUGAGUACAAGAGGCACUCUACCAUGGAUUUUGGUUCAGGGCCCAAAAGGUUUUAGCAAUCUUUAGAAGAAAUAUAUGUCGACAUAUGUAGACUUAUGUUAUAUGAUUCUAGAGGAAUCAAUGAAAUUUGUGGAAAUGUAUUUAUUCCUUUUAACUCCUUGUGAUUUCCUACAACAAUGGAGUCAAGGUGUUUCGAUGUCCCCACACCAAAACAUUUGUGCACAUUUAUGUCGGCUUUGGAUGAUGGCCAUCCACUGAGGUGUCUUUCAACUUGAUGUUGAAUUACAUUUACUGGUUGAGGAUUUGAUUUCCUCUGUUUCCGCGGAAGCAUAUGCGAGAUUAUAUCUCAUGUGGUCAGAUUUCUCCCCCUCUUGCUCUCAUUUGGGGAGAAGAGUGGUUUAUCAGGUACCUCCACUCUUUCUGACACUUUACUGCAGGAAUAUAAAUUUGAGUGACACCUUUGUCAUCAGUAAAUGUAUGUGGCAGAUUUGCAAUGAGUUGCAAAUAUAUGAUUCUAAACUUCUUGUUCAGAUUCUUUGAGUACGUGGAUAUAAGGACUGAAUGUCAAUAACAUGUCUAAUUUAUUUCUCGGCNNNNNNNNNNNNNNNNNNNNNNNNNNNNNNNNNNNNNNNNNNNNNNNNNNNNNNNNNNNNNNNNNNNNNNNNNNNNNNNNNNNNNNNNNNNNNNNNNNNNNNNNNNNNNNNNNNNNNNNNNNNNNNNNNNNNNNNNNNNNNNNNNNNNNNNNNNNCAUUCUUUUUGGUACUAAUCUCCCCCUAAUGCUGGAAAUAUCCUUAUUGUUGAUGCAAUCACAUACGGGCUGUGAAUAAUUUUGAUUGACGGAUAAAUUGUUAUUCCUCACAUAGUUCCCUAAAUUUCUGGGAGAGCCCAUUGAUGUAUGCUGGAGUAGUGAUAUCGGUAUGUAACCGAAUUAUCGCAGAUAGGAAAUACUUUGUUGAUUUUCACGUAAUUACUACAAGGGGAAAGUAGUAUUCUAUGCAGUUGGUAUGAUUUAGAUCAUACUUACGGUGUGUAAUGCCGUAUUUGUCUAGCAUGAGGCUAGUAAAUUACGAUUCUAUAAGUUUGGUCAUAUUAUUAAUUUCACUAUCUUUGAUAAGAUAUUGAACUAAACCAUUAUCUGUAUAUACAUAAAGUAUUAGGUAUAAUCAGACAUUGCUUGUGAAAUGAGUUCAACGAAGUUGUCCAUUCAAAUGGAUAUAUCCCUUGUUUAGGAUAACUAGCUUGCUCUUACUUUGAGAAUUUGACCAAUUAAUUUAGUUAUAUCAUUCAUGGUUUGUGUGACAAGAGACACACUGGAAAUCGUUUUAUAAAUGUUUCCAUGAGUACCAUGAAGUAUCUAUAUAAUACCACAUAAUGGUUGAGUAAUGCACAUAUCUUCUCAAUGUGUUCAAGGAAGAAUGAGUUGACUCAUUUAGAAUUGUAAGGUGAGAGUUCCUUAAAUUAAUUUCCCCUAUGGUACAUGUGGUGCACAUAAAAUCUGAUGAUUUGAGAAAUUUUGCAACUGUUAAGUUGUGACCAAUAGAAUUGUCAAUAAUUUUCUAAUCAUCCCCAAACUAGGAUGGCUAAGGCUAUUAAGCUUAAUAUUUAAUUUAUUAAUACUUAGAAAAUCAUUAUGUACGCAACAAUAUUGAGUAUGGAUUGAUUCAUACAUUCAAAAUUUAUCAAAUAUAAUGUCCAAUAAAUAUGAUAUUGGAGAUUACACUACAUGUAGUAGCACAAGUAUAGGCUAAUGUUAUUUUGGAAAUAAUUAGGAUAUUCCAUGAGGUCACCCAUAUUACUGAAAAAAUUAAUUAUGCAAACAUAUCAUAGGCACAAAGGAAUUGAUCAUUCUUUUAUUACACUAUAUUUUUGGUUCUCCUUCUGAUGAAGAUUUGGAAACAAUCAUUUACGAGGAUAUUUCCUGAUUGUAUGUUUGCAAAUUUUCAACUAUCCCAAUGAACUUAUUUGCUUUCUUAAUAAAUUUAUGGUAUGGUUUGACCAUAUGUUUGACGGUUUGGUAAUCAUAUGUAUUAUAUUUAUGUAACCACACAUUUGACAAAUUUAAGAGUUGUCUUUGUGAUCAUUUGAAAAUGAUCAAUUACUAAUUAAAAGGUAAUUAUGUCAUUGGUUGUAUUUAGCCUCCACUUUACUUUGAAUUCCUCAUGGUUCUAUUUUGUAACCACUGACUUUCAUAGUAUUCUCAAUGCUAGCAAAUAUUUGAAGCAAUCGUUGGGUGAAUAUGAUGAUUUUAAGAAAUAAUAUGUUUCUUUAACAUGAAAAUGGUAAUACCAUCAUAAGAAGAUGUAAAGUGUAUUGAGGGAUUUUCAACUGGAUCUUCGGAUGAAAAUAUUUGAUCAUGAGAUCUCAACUUAAAGUUGAUUGAGUGACAAAAAUGUGAGCUGCGAUAGACUUGAGGUCUUGAGAAACGAAUGGGUGAUUAUUCGCAAUGUGCUCAUGGCAACAUGUUUCUCUUAAGGGAAAUAUUCAAGAUGAAUAAAUAUUCGUCCAUUAUGUACUUAGUUUGAGAACUAAGUGAAGUUGGUGAUAGACGAAAUACAUAUAAACAUACUUAACUAUUAAGAGAAUAGCCAUGACAUAUAUUUCGAAGGUGGAGUUAUAGUGGCCACAAGUGCCGCAUGUGGAUAUAAUGACUGAUGUCAUCAAUCAUCUUACAAUAAAUACUCGCACCAAAUCAUGCAUUUACUGUAUUUGAAAAUGUCAAUCAUGCAUUACUUAAAAAUGCUAAUGCAUUUAUUUAAUUUACUUCUAGGAGUAAAAUAAAAUAUAUGGAUGAAAUGAUCUUGUUGAGCACAAUCCGCCAAUGUGAUGCUUGGUGAACAUGCGGUGUAAACCUUCAAUAUAGUGCAUGCGAUAAAAUCAUUGCUAAUGUUUUGGGCUUCAUUCGUAAGAAAAGUGUGACUUUAGAGUCACAGCCAAAACAUAGACUUUGCAAUUUUAACAUUGCUUAGUCACUAUGAAAAUAACAGCCACGAUGUGAUGUGGAUCUUGCAAUAGUGUUUGAGACACUCGCUAUAAAUUAUGGCAUCCAUCUUGAUGGAUGGAUGACACUAUAAUUAAAAAUAGUGACGCAGGCUCCAUUGCCAUGCAUUUUACGAAUGUAGUAGGAGGUAAUCAUACGUAUAUGCAAAUAUUUACGUAGUUUGCUAUUACAUAUUCAAGCAAAGUGUGCAAGAACAAUAUUUACUAUGAGAGUAAAAUAUUUUAGUGAACAACAACAAUAAAUGCUUUGGAGGAGCAAAUUCUUGUUUGGUUGAUGCCUUGUAUGUGUAGACCUCAAUUGAUAUAGAAUAACACUUUGAAGAUAAUCACCAAUAUGCUGUAGAUCUCGCAAUAAUAGAAAACAUAGUCUGACUUAUGUCAGUAGAUGUUCAUAAUUCUAUUACCUUAUGUUAUGCUAUAUUUAAGAAAAUCACUUUAAAGAUAAUCAUAUGUCAGAAUGACAUGAUGUAGACCUUGUAGUAAUAAUGGAUAGUCUGCAAAAUUUUGCAGUAGAUGCCAAUACCUUAUGAUUUCUUGAGGUAGUCACGCCAAAUAUUAAUAUUUGGAAGAGCACUUUGAAGGUAAUCAUCUUGUAAAUUUGACAAGAUGUAGACCUCACAGUAAUGAUGGAUAAUCUGCAAAUGGUGCAGUAGAUGCCACCAAUACCUUGUGAUUCACAAAUAAAAUUUGGGCUAGUCAUAUUAAGUAUGGCACUUCAUAAUUCUUGUUAGAACUUUAUUAAGAUUUGCAAAAAAAAUUAUUUCUAUUGCAAAAUCGUAGUUGUUGUCACAAAUUGCAUGUAAUGCUAGGGAGUAGAGAGAGAAGAUGUCUUAAAUUCCGAAGGAAUAUGAUCUGGAAUGUAAGCAAAACAUUCUUUUCAACAACAUUACCGGGGUAAUAUAUGUAUAUCUGGAAAAGUUAAUUUACAUACUUACACAAACAUAUGAAGACAUAAGGUCUUCAAAUGACAAUUUUUACCCAUUUCAAAAUGGUGUAUACUUGUGUGGUAUGUAAUUAGAAUGAACUAAGGGUCUGAUGUGCACAUAUUUACUGCUGAAAAUAUGUAUUGCACAUGAUGUGCAUAUCGUGAAGGUUAGAACACAAAUUUAAAGGAUCUAAUUGUGUAUGUCAGAUAACUUUAUAACCUAUAAGGGCUAUGGUGCAGAUGUCAAAGUCCAGUACUUAAUUCCCAAAAAUUCUAUGGACUAGUACUAAAAAAUGUGAAUGGAUAAGGUCUCCUUUCCAGAUCAAUCUCCCGUGUUGCUACACAUUUCAGUGGGAAAUUUUUUCAAUGCCAUGAUAGGCAGCACCGUGCGCUGAUUACAUUAGCGCCGUCGUUUGCCACGCCUGAGGGCGUCGCCGCAACAGACACCACAACCGCUCAAGGUCCGCGCGCGCUGGGGGGCUAGAUGGCUGCGUCCGUGGCUGUUGGAUCGACGUCGUUGUGUGGAGUAGGUGGCCGCGCCGGAAGGCGCUGUCGCCAUUCGGGUCAUGGCCUUAAGGUGCGCGCAGUGCUGUGCGCUAGAGCAACGUCGACUGCGGUCGUUGCUCGGACUUGAGCACGGGGCACGGCUGCGCUGCAGGGAGUCGGGCCGAGGGCCGCUCGAAGGAGCGGCGUGUGGUGGCUGUGGCCUCCGCGUCCAAAGGACUGAUGCUUCUGCCGCUUCCUCGACGAGGUUGUUGCCGCUGCAGAGAUGGCGACAAAGCAAGAGGCAGUGGCACGGCCGCUAGUUUCAGUUCAAGAAAUUAGAAAAAGACAUGGUACCUUUUCUUCCGUUUGUAUGAUUGGAUGAUUCAUUUUUGAUCGAGGCUUUCUCUGCCUUUCUUCGUUCCGGUUCAUGCUUCAACCAUCUGGCGUUGCUGCCGCUGACGACGAGCAGAAGAGUGCUGCUGCUGGUGACCGCGCCGUCGGCGGCGAGGUUGCCGCCUGCCCGUGCAGGCUGCAGGCCAUGCGUCUAGCCGGGGCGGCGUGAGUUCUUCAGCGGCGAUUAGUUGCGAUACAUGCAUCCACGGUCAUUCUUUCGCUGUGGCCUAUUCCUCUAAUCGCGAACAGAGUGCGUGAUAACGUGUUAAGAGAGGAAGAGCAAAUGAUGAAACAUUUAUCUCAUUGAUUGAAGUUUUGGGUAUAUAUAUACCCCGGUACAAAGACGGUUUACAAGGAGCAGUUGCCAAUCUAAGCAACCGGACGGUUUACAAGGAGCAGUUGCCAAUCUAAGGAACCGACAUAAGCAGGGAUUAUCUCCUAAUUAAUUUAAUUAAUUUAUUCCUAACAUAUACAACGUGCUGGUUUCUGCUGCGUAGGAUGCGUGCUCUACCACAUUAGGAAGAUGAUUUGUUUGUAAUGUACACUUUAAUGAUCUAAACGAUCUUUUACGAAGAGAGUAAUUUACUGUCAGUGAACACCUUGUAAGCAUGCUUCAAAUGUAUACAGAACUUGCUGCUGUAAUGUCUGAUCUCCCUAUGCAACUAAAUGAGCUGACAACAAUUUCCAAGAAUGACAAUUUCCCAUCUUAUUUCAUAAGCCCUUAAACUAUUUAUUGGUUAAGUUUAUGAUGAGACACGGACUAGCAAGACGCUAAUUCGCUGGUGUAGAUGGCCCGAUCUUUCACAAUGAUGCUCGAUGAAUAGUUCGUCCCCGGGUUCCUUCGAGAACCUCAAACAAUAAUGUUCGCCCGUGUAUAAAAAUACACGAACAACAAUAAUAAUCCUCUUAGAUCAGCAUGCAGUUGUCGAUAUAUUGAUCAACCCUUCGUCACAAGUAAAUUUUCACAAUAGGAAAAUCGUAGAUGAUACACACGAUCUGAUCGUCACAAACCUGAAUGUUUUAUGCAGUGGCGAAUCUAGGAUUUUAAAUUAGGGUAUUGCCGGUCAAAAAAAAUCACGCAGGAUGAGGCUCAAAUUCAUGGAUUAAGCUGAAACCAUCCACUAAAUACAAUAUAAAUAGUUCAAAAAUCAUACUGAUAAUUAGAAUAUCGGUAUUCAUGUGAACUAAAGACUCACAAUGCUAUUUUUGUGACUAUUUUAUUCGACGUUUUUGAAGGGACAUAAAUGUCUUGGUAAUAUCAUCUUCAUCAACUUAAAAGAAAAUAUCCCGCUCAAUAAAAGUGACUAGACAAUUAUCCAAAAGACUAUCUUCCAUCUUACAAAAAUAAAAUACUAAAUAAUUAAAUAAAUUACGCUUGCACAAUUGAAAUUUUCACAUGUUAUUAUGAAACACUCACAUGAUACGCAGUUUGGUACUGGGGCAAAUCCUCACUCAAGCGAUCAAGAUUUGGCCUAUUGAUCGCCUAGAUUAGGCAAGCGGUCAAGAUUAUUGAACGCCAACACCGUCGAGAUCGCGCCAAGAUCAAUAGUCCUGUGACCGUGUGGCUGAGAAACUCUGAACCUGUAAUAUCUAAUUAAACUGGCAACAACAGCGAUCAAUAAUACCUCUGAAGUCUGAACCUCUGAACAUGAGAAUCUCUGAACAUGUAACCUCUGAACCUCUGAACCGUGUGGCCGUGGGGAGCGUUGCGGGAGCCGCAGUGUUGGGGUGCAGCGCCGCCAACAGCUCGGGACCCCUCGUCGGCGAGGUCGGCAGCUCCGAUAACCCUGCAACACUCCGUCAGACGGGCCAGGCAGACCCUAAGGCUGUGGGGCUGUGGGCGUCGGACGAGGUUGAGAGGACGAGGCACACGCUGCUGAACGCAAUCGUCGUCGGCAGUCCACGCGAACGCCUGAAGUCCUGAUUCCUGAAUGCGAUAGAUGAAACCGCCGGCGCCUCGGCGGCUCGGCGUUGCCUCGAGCCCUCUAUCCAAUUGGCGUCGGACUCGGCUCCCCUCUUCAAUCGCUAGC